UAGGGAAUCUUCCACAAUGGACGCAAGUCUGAUGGAGCAACGCCGCGUGAGUGAAGAAGAUCUUCGGAUCGUAAACUCUGUUGUUAGAGAAGAACACGAGUGAGAGUAACUGUUCAUUCGAUGACGGUAUCUAACCAGCAAGUCACGGCUAACUACGUGCAAG
rnacentral:rRNA from 1 species